UUAGGAGGAUUCCGGUGCCUCUCACAGGUACACGAUGCUGACAUUCAGCAGGCAAAACAUUCCCUGCCAUGCCUCAAGGCUGAGAAGAGCGGUGCUUGCUGAAUUUCCAUCUGCUGCACAGGAACAUGGGAGCCUUGCCAGAAGAUGAUAAAUGGGGAUUCUGGUUCCUGUGUUGCUCAGAGCAGCUUAAUUGUGUUCUCCUGCUGGCAAUUACUGCAGUUCCUUUGAAGCUGGAUACCUAAAAUAUAAUCUUGCCCCUUAUACACCCAAACUGAUCACUGGUGCACCGCAGUUGCUUCAAGAUAUUUCAUAGGAAGAGAUCCACAGAAGAAAACCAAUCUAUUAAUCCAUCAAUCCCAGGCAAUGGGGACCAAGGAACACUGGAAGCCGGAUUAUACCAGGGCAGAUUAUUUGUUUAUCUAACACAGGACUGUCUGUUCUGACUGGCAGUUGCUCUCCAGGGCAUCAGGCAAAGGUACUUCCCAUCACCUUUUACCUGUUUCGUUUGACUGGGAUUGAACCUGGGACCUUCUGGAUGCAAAGCAGGUGCUCUGCCACAGAGCUACAGUUUGUCCUUAAGCACUUGCGGUAUGCAUUUCUAUUAAAGGUGUGUUUAAGCUUCUUGGAAA